rnacentral:rRNA from 1 species
UACGUAGGGUGCGAGCGUUUAAUCGGAAUUACUGGGCGUAAAGCGUGCGCAGGCGGUUAUGCAAGACAGAUGUGAAAUCCCCGGGCUUAACCUGGGAAUGGCAUUUGUGACUGCAUAGCUAGAGUGUGUCAGAGGGAGGUAGAAUUCCACGUGUAGCAGUGAAAUGCGUAGAUAUGUGGAGGAAUACCGAUGGCGAAGGCAGCCCCCUGGGCUGAGAUUGACGCUCAGGCACGAAAGCGUGGGGAGCAAACAGG